rnacentral:rRNA from 1 species
AACGAACGCUGGCGGCAGGCUUAACACAUGCAAGUCGAGCGCCCCGCAAUGGGAGCGGCAGACGGGUGAGUAACGCGUGGGAAUCUACCCAUCUCUACGGAAUAACGCAUGGAAACGUGUGCUAAUACCGUAUACGUCCUUCGGGAGAAAGAUUUAUCGGAGGUGGCUGAGCCCGCGUUGGAUUAGCUAGUUGGUGGGGUAAAGGCCUACCAAGGCGACGAUCCAUAGCUGGUCUGAGAGGAUGAUCAGCCACACUGGGACUGAGACACGGCCCAGACUCCUACGGGAGGCAGCAGUGGGGAAUAUUGGACAAUGGGCGCAAGCCUGAUCCAGCCAUGCCGCGUGAGUGAUGAAGGCCCUAGGGUUGUAAAGCUCUUUCACCGGUGAAGAUAAUGACGGUAACCGGAGAAGAAGCCCCGGCUAACUUCGCGCCAGCCGCCGCGGUAAAAC